rnacentral:rRNA from 1 species
UACGGAGGAUCCGAGCGUUAUCCGGAUUUAUUGGGUUUAAAGGGUGCGUAGGCGGCCUGUUAAGUCAGGGGUGAAAGACGGUAGCUCAACUAUCGCAGUGCCCUUGAUACUGAUGGGCUUGAAUGUACUAGAGGUAGGCGGAAUGUGACAAGUAGCGGUGAAAUGCAUAGAUAUGUCACAGAACACCAAUUGCGAAGGCAGUUCACUAGGCCUGUAUUGACACUGAGGCACGAAAGCGUGGGGAUCAAACAGG